GGGAAGGCUGAGAUUUUCUAAUUUAUUGCUUAUUCAUUUUUAAAUUAUGUUUUAAAACGUUUGUCUUUUUGUCUAAACGUAACUGCCAAUUGGAAAUAAAGCAGAUGUCAAUUUUCCUAGAACUAAAAAUAUACAUACGAUUUUUAAAAAGAGUUCGAUUUUACACAAAAUAUAUUUUGGAAUAAUAGUAUACAAUGCGAAAUUCAUUUUUCCUUGUUCAAUGGAAAACUUUAAAUCUGGUCCUCGGCCUGUGUUGCUUACGUCAACGAGCGCUCACGCCACUUUGUCAACAAUUCUAGAGCAGUCUCAAAUAUGGAGGCCUUGAUGUCCAGCUCUCAGAUCACACCCUGAUUGAGACAUCGAGAGACACACCUGUCGGCCAUGACCGCGUGUCAGACACAAUGAAGGAUUCGUAAAGUGCUGCGGAAGGACAGGAUACAAGCAGAGCCGGACGUGUCCAUUGCAACCUGCGUUUGUCAAGCCGGGUAGCACGCCCCCUGUGCGCUGUUCGCUCGGAGCACAAGAAAAUAUGGAGGUGAUAGGAGAUUGCUAAGAGAGCGGGAGGCCUGUUUCCUCCGUGGCAGAGGCUGUGAUGGUUGAUGAUGACUGCAGUCCCCUUCUCUAGCUCUGACUCUCAUGUGACCGGCAGCAAGGCACUCCCUGUGCUCUCACUAAUGCUUCAGGAGGCUGGUGAGCUGAUCUGAAAACAUCGCAAGGUUUCCUUCAGACACGUAUGGACAGGAGGAGCCGCUGCUGGCCUUCAAGACUGGAAAGUGUGUGUACUAUGGCCACAGUCCCACCUCUCAGCCUGGGAACGGAAGCAAGGAGUCACAGGGGAAAAGUUUCAGACAAUCAGAGAUGUACCUGAUGUUGCCACACUGUGCGAUCCUUCACCUGUUGAGUUUGUCUUUAGAGAGAUGGAGAAACACAGCUGAGCUCAGACAACACAAGCCAGAUGGAUGGACAGGUGCAUUGUGGGCCAUGCUGCUGACAUUGAUGUAAGAUUCCACAUGGCCCCAGAUGACUCAGUGCAGACGGUUUUAAAUGAGUCAAGAUCAACAAUUUAUAUUAAAUCUAGAUGGGGGUAAGAAUUGUGAAACACGUACAGAAACUGUAUGUCCAUCACACCAGCUGUAUGAAGGAAGUGAGGCCGGUUUAUCGACAAAUCAGUUCUAAGAAGCUCUAGGCUUUUGAUCCUGCCAAGAUUAUCUCUGCAGUUUCAUAAGACGUGCACAAAAUCAACACUUCAAAUAUAUGCCACUAACUUCCCCAUCUGACUGUUAUCAGACCUGAGGUUCAGCCUCAAUAGAAGCUCUUUAUUCUGACUGAUGUAGCGAGGCGCUUUCAAUUUUACUGUUUAAAUGUUCUGUGAGCACUUACUGGAGUAUAUUUGUUCCCUAUAAAGUUUAUGACCAGCUCUGGUUAAGUUUUGGUUUUCUGCUCAGAAUGAGUGGGUUUCCUGAGACUGAGAGGAAUAUUUCCCUUGGACACAUUUAUGAAGCAUGGUCAGUAUAGUGUUCCACAUUUUUUAAACUACGUCUCAAGUUUUGUUUCUCUUCGCUCGGCCUGUGAUGAGGAUAAGAGGGGUGACCAGUGGGUUAAAGACUCUGUCCACCUCACUUUAAAGAAUGGAGGGAACGAUUGCUAAGUAGCUUUGAGGAGCACAUGGCGCAGCACUCUAUAUCUGAAUAGGAUGGAGGUUUAGGGUCUUUUCCGUAGAUAUACAAUAGCUUCAGUCCACUAAACGUACUUUUUUCGCUCUCUUUUUGUCUUGCUUCUGUCAUCUUCUAUCAUACAUUAAACAUCUUGCUUUCUGCUACUGCAGCCAAACCU